rnacentral:rRNA from 1 species
UCGUAACAAGGUUUCGGUAGGUGAACCUGCGGAAGGAUCAUUAAUGAAUAAACCAAGGUGGAUUGUUGCUGGCUCUUAGGAGCAUGUGCACAUCUGCCAUUGUUUCAUUCUUUCUCCACCUGUGCACCUUUUGUAGGCUUGGAUAACUCUCAAGGACUGAAUUACAUUCAUACAUUCAUUUCUUGGAUUUAGGGAUUGGUUUCAAGAAAACCUCUCCUUUGCAUUUCCAGUCUAUGUUUAUUAUAUCUACACCCCAUUAGUAUGUGUUAGAAUGUUUAUUAUUUGGCCUUUCUUUUUGAUAGGCUUUAAAAUGGUUAUACAACUUUCAACAACGGAUCUCUUGGCUCUCGCAUCGAUGAAGAACGCAGCGAAAUGCGAUAAGUAAUGUGAAUUGCAGAAUUCAGUGAAUCAUCGAAUCUUUGAACGCACCUUGCGCUCCUUGGUAUUCCGAGGAGCAUGCCUGUUUGAGUGUCAUUAAAUUCUCAAUCCUUUCUGGGUUUAUUCUCAGCUAGGCUGGGAUAUGGGGGUUUUGCUGGCUUUGUACAGACAAAGUCAGCUCUCCUGAAAAACAUUAGCAAGACUGUUGUUGCAACCUUCUAUCUGGUGUGAUAAUUAUCUACAUCAUAGAUUGUAUGCAGUUUAUUAUGUCUGGCUUCUAACAGUCCAUUGAAUUGGACAAAACCUAUGACAAUUUGACCUCAAAUCAGGUAGGACUACCCGC